GGGGCUGUUCUGGAUUCGACAGGAUGGUUCGAGUUUGGUAAGCAUGCGAUCGGCAUAUCUAAAGUGCACCCAGUAAAUAACUGGAAACCAAAAUUACGCUNNUGCAGUCGGCGGACUUUAAAGCGCACCGGCAAAUAACUGCCAACCAGUCUUACGCUUUCGCCGCCUAAGCAUAGGUAGCGGGGUCCCUCCUUCCAGCCUGCGGGUUUGAGGGACCUCCAGCUAGCAGGAUAGCAAAACGGGUCGCCGCCUUAGGCUCGUUCGCGAAACUAACAAGGCUGGUCAACGGAUCGUGGGUCUCCUGGCAGUCCGUUGAUGAGAUUUACAGGAAACUAAGCAUGUAGAAAACUCGACGAUCGGCUGUUUUGGACCGGGGUUCAAAUCCCCGC
rnacentral:tmRNA from 1 species